CGAGGACUGGAGUUUGAGACCCCUGCUCUACAACAUCCACCAGAGUUGCCUUUGGAUGAAACAGAUCUUCAGACUAUAUUAGCAAAACUAUACAGCAAGGUUGAUAUGACUUUCUGUCCUACCAGCAACCAAAUAAAUGUGUGCAGGGACAGGAUUUUAGAAUGUAGCCUGUAUGCCUCCAGAAGACGCCGUUUUAUCCAGCAGCAAAACUGGAUGUUAUUUUUGUGGAUGAAGAGGACAACGCUGAAGGGGCAGUUGAUGAAGGUGGUCCCACACGAGAGCAUCUAAGACUGUUAAUGAGGGCCAUUCAUCAUUCUAAUGUCUUUGAGGGGCAUGGAAUGACCGCCAUCUUAGCUUUGGACACUAGUGGUCAGUAUUCUCCCCCCCCAAUUCUUAAGGAUGGAAAAUUGUCAAGUAACAUUUUUUUUCUUUAGCGCUGGAGUCAAAAAUGUACAACUGUAUUGGAAAAAUGAUAUCAGUCUGUUUGGUGCAUGGAGGCAUUGGACCACAUUUCUUCUCUCAAAGGCUGUAUGACCACAUUUGUGGCACAUUGCCUCACCCUACCCUGGUUGAGGAAGUUGUUAACCAUUCAUUCAGACAGCAGUUGAUCAAAAUUCAGGAUACAAACACAAUCGUGGAGGCAAACGAAGCCAUUAUGCAGGCAGCAGAUACCCUGAGCAUUGUUGGAGCAUUAAGGCAUGUAACUACUCUGGAAGAGAGGGACUCCCUUGUGCAAUCUGCUGCAGACUUCUCUGUAAAUGGCCGAGUGUGCACUGCAUUGCAACAGUUUGUGGAAGGUUUGAAGACUCUUAAUGUGCUAGACGAGAUUCAGAAAAACCCUGCAGUCUUUCAUGAAUUGUUUGUCGGUGAGGAGAAGCCACUCUUGGCACAGGACCUGUACACACUUUU